GUGUGUUGAUGUGUGAGUGUCUCUGUGUCUGGGGUGGGACUUGGAGCACUUCCUGGGUGGAAGGAGGCUUCUUCCAUCCAAGUACCUGCAGGUUACCAGCUGGAAGGGCAGACAGAAGCAAAACACUGAACCCAUGUCAAGAAAAGACUCCAGUGAUUGGGGACAUGUUGAAGUGCCUGCACCGUUGUCUUGGGAAAGAACACACAACUACCUUUCCUUCCUUAAGGGCAAGAUGUGAAGUUCCUCAAGAACCAGCAGCAAGGCAGGUGGCGUCCGGGGCUCCCUCCAGCCGGCUGCUCACUAGCCCUGUGGAACAUGGGCAGGAGAGGCAAAGGGAAGCAGAGUCCCCCAGCACUGGCCUCUACACAUGUCACCAGGAGACUCUCUGUCCCCACUCAGACACAGGGACAUAGAGUCGGAGCACUGAAGCCAAAACCUCAGCCUUGUGUGCCUACCAACUGAACUCCACCCCACAGAGACUAUCAAAUACUCAAAACAGACUCGGGCAGGGCCCUAUCUGCUAGCCUAGUUCUGUGAAAUGCUACAGCUCUGGCUUUCCCAGCGGUGAAUGCAGAGAAGGAGGCAGCUUCAGCAGUCAGUCAGGUGAGUGGCAGCUGACCACACACUAUGACUGACCAAGGGCCUCUCUCAAGGGCCCCGAGUCCAGGAACCUGCCAGCUGCCUGAACUUCUGCAAGCCCCUCAACUCUUGCAGGGUCUUCAUCUUAAUCUUCCAGAGGAUUUGGAAUCUCAAAAUAUUCAGAUUUGGGGUUGUCUUAGUUCACAUUUCUAUUGCUGUGAAGAGACACCAUGACCAUGGCAACUCUUAAAAAGGAAAACAUUUAAUUGGGUCUGGUUUACAGUUCAGAGGUUUAAUACAGUGUCCUCAUGGCAGGAAACAUUGCAGCAUGCAGGCGUUCGUGCUGGAGAGGUAGCUGGGAGUUCUACAUCCACAAGAAGAGAAUUGACACACUGCACGGCUUGAACAUCUGAGACCUCAAAGCUCAACCUCAGUAACCCACUUUUUCCAACAAAGCCACAUCUACUCUAACAAGGCAUAUGUAGCUGAUGGGCAGCCUGGUCUUCAUGUGGGUCUCCUUGCAAGUGGAACAGGGGCUAUCUCUGAUGUGGACUCUGUUGCCUGUUUUUGGGUAUCUUUUUCCUAGCUGGGCUGCCUUGUCUGGUCUCAAGGGAAGAAGAUGAACUUAGUCCUGAUAUGAUUUCAUGUGCUGGGAUGGGUUGAUACAGGGGUUUUCUCCUUUUCUGAGGAGAAGGGGAGUGGGGAAAUGGAGGAACAGGGUAGAAGGAUAGGACUGGGAGGAGAGGAAGGAGGAGACUAUG